rnacentral:rRNA from 1 species
CAAUAGCGUAUAUUAAAGUUGUUGCAGUUAAAAAGCUCGUAGUUGAAUUUCUGUCAGGAGUGACCGGGCCUUUGGAUGAACUUCCAUUGUUUUUUGCUCUGUUUGUCAUCUCUAGACAUCCUGAAAUAUUUUUUAAAAAUAUUUCUCUUUUACUGUUAGCAAAAUAGAGUGUUCCAAGCAAAGCGUAGUUUUGAAUACAUUAGAAUGGAAUAAUAAGAUAGGACCUUGGUGCUAUUUUGUUGGUUUGCACACCAAGGUAAUGAUUAAUAGGGACAGUUGGGGGUAUUCGUAUUUAAUUGUCAGAGGUGAAAUUCUUGGAUUUAUGAAAGACGAACUACUGCGAAAGCAUUUACCAAGGAUGUUUUCAUUAA